GCCUUCGUGGUGUAAUGGUCAGCACACUGAGCCCGUAUUUCAGAGGUCCGCGGUUCGAUCCCCGGCGAAGGCA
rnacentral:tRNA from 1 species